rnacentral:rRNA from 1 species
GAUGAACGCUAGCGGCAGGCUUAAUACAUGCAAGUCGAGGGGCAGCACAGUGUAGCAAUACAUGGGUGGCGACCGGCAAACGGGUGCGGAACACGUACACAACCUUCCUUCAAAUGGGGAAUAGCCCAGGGAAACUUGGAUUAAUACCCCGUAACAUUAUGAGGUGGCAUCACUUUAUAAUUAUAGCUCCGGCGUUUGAAGAUGGGUGUGCGGCUGAUUAGGUAGUUGGCGGGGUAACGGCCCACCAAGCCUUCGAUCAGUAACUGGUGUGAGAGCACGACCAGUCACACGGGCACUGAGACACGGGCCCGACUCCUACGGGAGGCAGCAGUAAGGAAUAUUGGGCAAUGGACGCAAGUCUGACCCAGCCAUGCCGCGUGGAGGAUGAAGGUCCUCUGGAUUGUAAACUUCUUUUCUCUGGGGCGAAAAACAGGUUUUCUAACUUGCUUGACAGUACCAGAGGAAUAAGCACCGGCUAACUCCGUGCCAGCAGCCGCGGUAAUACGGAGGGUGCAAGCGUUAUCCGGAUUCACUGGGUUUAAAGGGUGCGUAGGUGGGUUGGUAAGUCAGUGGUGAAAUCUCCGGGCUUAACCUGGAAACUGCCAUUGAUACUAUCAAUCUUGAAUACCUUGGAGGUGAGCGGAAUAUGUCAUGUAGCGGUGAAAUGCUUAGAUAUGACAUAGAACACCAAUUGCGAAGGCAGCUCACUACACGGUCAUUGA